rnacentral:rRNA from 1 species
AUUGAACGCUGGCGGCAUGCCUUACACAUGCAAGUCGAACGGCAGCACGGGAGCAAUCCUGGUGGCGAGUGGCGAACGGGUGAGUAAUAUAUCGGAACGUGCCCAGUAGUGGGGGAUAGCCCGGCGAAAGCCGGAUUAAUACCGCAUGAGACCCGAGGGUGAAAGCGGGGGACCGCAAGACCUCGCGCUAUUGGAGCGGCCGAUAUCAGAUUAGCUAGUUGGUGGGGUAAAGGCCUACCAAGGCAACGAUCUGUAGUUGGUCUGAGAGGACGACCAGCCACACUGGGACUGAGACACGGCCCAGACUCCUACGGGAGGCAGCAGUGGGGAAUUUUGGACAAUGGGCGCAAGCCUGAUCCAGCAAUGCCGCGUGCAGGAAGAAGGCCUUCGGGUUGUAAACUGCUUUUGUCAGGGAAGAAAUCCCUUGGGAUAAUACCUCGGGGGGAUGACGGUACCUGAAGAAUAAGCACCGGCUAACUACGUGCCAGCCGCCGCCGUAACAC